CAAAGUUAAAACUCAACUUGGUUUUUGAACGGAAAUAUAAUUAUGCCAAUAUAAGGAUACGUAACCGAACGCUUGUACUUAUAAGGUAUGAUGCUGAAAGAAAAUCUCCACAUUGAGAUGUCAUGCAACAGGUCAUGGAGAUUGCCUCUCUUAUGAGUCAUUAAAAGUAAAAGCCAAAAAAGCUAGUGAAAAAGCUGCUUCGCCAAAGCCAAGGCAAAG